CAAGAUUGCAGCUUCUGAUUACUAUGUGGUUGUUCCAGACUUCUUUUAUGGUGAACCCUAUGAUCCUCAGAAUACUAAUAGACCUUUAGGAAUUGAGAGUUAGUGAUGGUGUGGGUGUAAAGUCUUUAAUGCAACUCGUGUUAGUGAUUAGAUAAAUAAAAUAAAAUAGAACAGAAGUUACUCACAUAAAUGUUUGAUAAGCAAUAAGCAAUAAGCUACUUUGAACCUGUCUCAGCUGCCAAUAAGUUUUUCUCAUCAAAUGGUUUUCCUUACCCAAGUCUCUAGAAUCCUCCUGAUCACUUUGUAAAAAUUAUUAACAAGGAUUUUGAACAGCUGCUAUAGAGGAUAGUUCAAUUGAUUUUGGAGACUUCUUUAAAGGUCAAUUGCCAGGAAAGUUUCUCAAGCUUUUAGGGUUUCUUGCCUUGUCACGUCUUGGUGUGUAUAUUCCUCUAGCUUCUUGCACAGGUAUAUCCGAAGUUGCAAGAUCUUCAGAAAAGAGAAGGUGAGGCUGGAAGAAAGAAAGUUCUUCAAUACACUCGAUAUGCGUCAGUUGGAUUUGCAAUUGUACAGGCAAUUGGCCAAGUCCUCUUUUUACGUCCUUAUGUGAAUGACUUUAGUACCGACUGAAGCAGACAUGCAGAAAAUGAGUCAUGCGUGAAAAUUUCACCGAAGAUUGCUGGUGGUUUUGUCACUGCCUUAUCUUUCUGCACUGUUCAUUCGUUUUCUACGAAGAACCGAAGGUGUUGAAGCAGCCCGAAAGUACUUUCUGGAUGCACACAAAUCUCCAAGUUGCACAUAUCAUGUUUAUGUUGCUUAUGCUACAAUUGCCUUUUGUCUUGACAAAGACCCAAAGAUGGCACAUAAUGUUUUUGAAGAUGGACUAAAACGCUUUAUGCAUGAGCCUGUUUACAUUCUUGAUGGGGAAUCCAGCCUUAAAGGCAUGUGUAUAAGUAUAUAAAUUGAAAUCUGAGGAAAGUUGGGAUGAUGAAGAAGAAGCAGCAGCAGCAGAAAGAGCAAGUGAAGUGAAUUUUACAGAUGAGAUAAGUGGAAUUAACACAGGAUCUCCUUCACCAACUUCAUCUAAUGAAUCCUCUGUUACAAGCUAAUUAUUAGAGCAGCGAAAUUUGUUCAAAUGAGUUAGGAAAUUGAAUAGGAGUUGCUUGCAGCAUAGUUCUUUUAAUUUACUAGUAUGAGGAAAAUUAUUUAGA